AAACCAUGAUGUGGGCACUUCCUCAUCAAUUCCUUGUAUCCUCCCAAGCCUCAUACAACGACUCGGCUUCAUCUUGUAGAAACGAUUGAUAUCAUUUCUCAACUU